AGUAAAUGAAAAAGAAUGUGGCGUACGAAGGGACAGAUACUUACUUUAGGAGUCAAAGUGACUGAAAAUACGAAACAUUAUCUGGCACCUAUUUGAACUCUGAAGAGAGCUUGGAAAAUCUCUUAAGACUGGAGUAUAGUGUGUAGACAGUAGAAAGGCCCUGGCUACAGCAUGUAGCUUCUGGAGUGGAGUUAUCUUCAAGAUUUUGGGAUUAAGUACUGCUACACGAGCCUGCAUAGCAGCCCACCCAGGAUGCAUGGCUUCUGUUCAUUGGAUAGCUUGGAUCAAGUCAUGCUUUCCAACCCUGAAAUUCUGCAGCGAGGAUUUGGUGAACUGUAGAUGUGACUCCAGUCCUGCUUUGGGUCAUUUUAAAGAGCACGUGAGGAUGAAAAAGAUGAAAAAGUGUGCUUCCCUGUUAGUUAUGAAUGCUUCUCCUCUUGUCUUUGUCCAUAAUUUAAUCAGGUGAAGAUUGUUGGAAAUUGGAUAGAAGCUUAAUACCAAUAGAGCAUGAACUGAGGGUGUCAGGGUUUAGACAGAGUUGAGGACUAAAGUCAGUGAAUUCCUUGACUGAUUUGGUGUAGAAUUGUAAUACCAUAUUCACCAUACAUAAGCAGUUUGAGAGGAGUGCAUUCACAUAUGAAAUUUUUGGAGGGCUUCUUUACUAGGUUAUUUUUCCCUUUCUGCUUUUUUCUCCUGUUUAUUUUAAGAUAAUGGACUUUGUUACUAAAUAGUUUGGGUCUACAAAGAAAAGCAGACUUACUAUUAUGCUGGAGCUUUUCUUUUUUUUUUUUAACCAUAUAUUCAGGUUGACCUCUAAAUAGUUCUAUUUUCUUUAUUAGACUGAUUUUUUUUUAAUUAGCUGAAAAAUUGAUUUUUGUUGGUGCUGGGGAUAGAAUCCAGGGCCUUGGGCAUGCAUGGUGGGUGAGCCAUGAGUGACACUCUUCAGCCAAGGACGAGUCAGUCAUCUUUAAGCACUAUUCUUUUUAGUAUUAGGAUUGUCCCUGACACUCUGAAAACAAAGCUCAAGUGAUGCAAUCAGGGUGCAAUCUGUUGCCUGUGGAUUUUUAAGGAAAACUUUACAUUCAUACAACAUGAAAGCUCUCAGAUGCAGUGACCUUCCUUCUUUCUCUAGUUUUAGACCUUGUAUCUAAAGAUGACCUUGAUCCUCCCCUCUAUCUCUAUCUAAUGUUGAAACUGCAGGCAUGUACCACCAUAUCCAGUUUUUGUGGCAUUGGAGUAGAAUGCUAGGCUGGCAUUCUGCCAGUUAAGUUAGAUCCCUAACUCCCAUGGCUUCCUAUAAAGAGAGAUUAUCUCCCAGGAAGGCUUUUGUACAUAGAACCCUGCUGCAAGAUGUAUUGAGUAGCUCUGACUUAGGAGUAAAACAGCUCAUUUGAUUUAUAUACUCGGAAUGGUUUUACUUUUUCCUUUGAACCUUUAAAUGGAAUGGAUUUUGCCCGCACUCUUGUCCUGUUCUAACAAGGACCUCUCAGGCCAACAGUGGAGCCCGGGCCCUUACUCCUGCUAUCCUCUGUGCAGUGUUUUAUUUUGCAGUUUCCUGAGUAGCUGUUUUCUAGAGCAAGGUAAUUGAAAGAGACUUCACCUUCUCCUUUCUUUCUACCAUAGUACUUUCAUUUUUUUAAAUUCAAGGCUGGUUCUCUUCUAGUACUUACCAGUAUCAUCCUUCUCAUGAGGGGCCUCAUGAGAGGCCAUCAAACUCCUUGAUGUUCACAGUAACACUGUAAAGAGGAACUUUUUAUGGAACUUUCAGUGUUAUCUCUAAAAUAGUACCAUUAUGUAAUUGGAGUUGGGAAGGGUUAGUGAUUUUUUUUUUUAAAAGAGAUAUUCCUUUACCUCUUAAAAAAGAGGAGCAAAUAAAACUGACCUUCCCCCCCCCCCCCCCAGUAGGAUAAGGAAAACUGAGGAUAAAUUAAGGGCAAAACCAUUAUGGUACUACCCCUUUAAUGGUUUGAAAAGUGGAGAAUGGGACUUCUUCACAGCUGCAACCCUCAGAUAACUGAAAUGAUUUUAGCUCUAAAAUAUUUCUUAACAUUUAUUUUAUCAUGCUUGUUGGAUGCAGGAGCUAAGGGAGCUUCAUAGCAAAUAUGUGGAUCAGAGGACAACCUGGAAGCUUGUUUUCUCCUUCCACCGUGUGGGCUUUAAGGAUCAAAUUCAAGAUUGUCAAUCUUGGAAGCAUCGCUUGUAUUCACAGAGCCAUCUUGCUAGCCCUCUAUUAAUUAAUUCUUAUUAUUGAAAUCAGAAGUUCAUUCCCCCAUCAGUCUCACUUUGGACGUGGUGUCUAUGGUUAACUAUGGAAGAAAUUUACGUCCCUAAUCCCAUUACUCAAGAAGGAAGCAGCUGAGAUGGGAGAGAAUUUGAGGCAGCUUUGAUAACAAGAUGAGUUCUUGGCCAGUCUAGGUUUUCCAUGAGAUUGUGCUUC
rnacentral:lncRNA from 1 species